rnacentral:rRNA from 1 species
UACGUAGGGUCCGAGCGUUGUCCGGAAUUACUGGGCGUAAAGAGCUCGUAGGUGGUUUGUCGCGUUGUUCGUGAAAACUCACAGCUCAACUGUGGGCGUGCGGGCGAUACGGGCAGACUAGAGUACUGCAGGGGAGACUGGAAUUCCUGGUGGAGCGGUGAAAUGCGCAGAUAUCAGGAGGAACACCCGUAGCGAAGGCGGCACUCUGGGCCGAUACUGACACUGAGGAGCGAAAGCGUGGGGAGCGAACAGG